rnacentral:rRNA from 1 species
GACGAACGCUGGCGGCGUGCUUAACACAUGCAAGUCGAACGGUGAAGCGCCUUCCUUUUUGGUGGGUGUGGAUGAGUGGCGAACGGGUGAGUAACACGUGAGUAACCUGCCCCCUUCUUCUGGAUAACCGCAUGAAAGUGUGGCUAAUACGGGAUAUUCUGGGUCUGUCGCAUGAUGGGUCUGGGAAAGAUAUUGUUUCGGUGGGGGAUGGGCUCGCGGCCUAUCAGCUUGUUGGUGGGGUGAUGGCCUACCAAGGCGGUGACGGGUAGCCGGCCUGAGAGGGUGGACGGUCACACUGGGACGGAGACACGGCCCAGACUGCUACGGGAGGCAGCAGUGGGGAAUAUUGCACAAUGGGCGCAAGCCUGAUGCAGCGACGCCGCGUGAGGGAUGGAGGCCUUCGGGUUGUGAACCUCUUUCGCCAGUGAAGCAGGCCUGCCUCGGUGGUGGGUGGGUUGACGGUAGCGGGAUAAGAAGCGCCGGCUAACUACGU